rnacentral:rRNA from 1 species
GACGAACGCUGGCGGCGUGCUUAACACAUGCAAGUCGAACGGAAAGGCCCUGCUUUUGUGGGGUGCUCGAGUGGCGAACGGGUGAGUAACACGUGAGUAACCUGCCCUUGACUGUGGGAUAACUUCAGGAAACUGGGGCUAAUACCGGAUAGGAGCUCCUGCUGCAUGGUGGGGGUUGGAAAGUUUCGGCGGUUGGGGAUGGACUCGCGGCUUAUCAGCUUGUUGGUGGGGUAGUGGCUUACCAAGGCUUUGACGGGUAGCCGGCCUGAGAGGGUGACCGGCCACAUUGGGACUGAGAUACGGCCCAGACGCCUACGGGAGGCAGCAGUGGGGAAUAUUGCACAAUGGGCGGGAGCCUGAUGCAGCAACGCCGCGUGCGGGAUGACGGCCUUCGGGUUGUAAACCGCUUUCGCCUGUGACGAAGCGUGAGUGACGGUAAUGGGUAAAGAAGCACCGGCUAACUACGUG